GGAGAAAGUAAAUUAGAGUUAGGGUUUCUGAAGGAUGAAGUUUGAUUGAGUUUCGUGGAAUUGAUUUGUGUAUUGGGUUGUUAGAAGAUGAAGAACGAUUGGGUUGGUGUUUAAUUGAUUUUCGUAUGUUGUUCUCAAGAAGAAUCGGAGGUAGGGUUUCUCGGAGAUUGAAUUAGGGGUAGUGAGAAAAGCCAAGGAAGAUGAAAUUGAAGUUUAAGAGGAUUAAUUGAAGAUAGGUUUGUCACAAAUCAAGAGUUAAGGUUGAAUUUGAAGCUGAAAAUGGUGUUCUUCCCCAAUCAGGUAAUUUAGGAUUUAAUUGAUUUAGACCUGAUUUAUAUGAAUUUGGUUAAGAGUUGAUGGAUCUGAUUUGGGUUUGUUAAAUUGAAGUUAUUUUGAUUAUACGGAGUUCAGUUUUGGUUUAAUAUGAAUUUAAGAAUUAUACUUGGAGUUUUGCUAAUUUGAGAUUUAUAAGAAAGAAUGGGUUAAUGUUGGUGGUUUUAUGUGAUUUUUAUGGGAACAAAAUGGACUUGUUGUUGAAAUUAAGGUUGUGUUGGGUUCAGGUUGAGUUCACCUUUGUACAAAUCAAUUAAAAUGAGUUGGGGUGGUUGUGUUGAAAGUUGGGUUAUAGGAAUGAAGAUUGUAGUUUGUAAGGAUGGUGUUGAAGUUGAUUGGCAGUGAGUCAGUUUGGUGACCGUAGCUUGGAAUUGAACCACAGUGGGUAGUGAUAAACUGAAAUGGUGGUGGUAUUAACCUGGUGGAGAAGUUUAUGUUGUACUCUGGGUCUUAGUGAUGUAUUGAGAUAUUAGAAAGAUAUUAAGUUGCAGGAAGGGUUGAACCAGUGGUGGUAUAUAGUUGACCAGAUUGUGAAUGAAAAUGAAGGCUCUGGGUUUGAGUUACUGUUGUAUCUAAUGAAGCUGGUGGAGAAAGGUUGCAUCAGUUGUAGUUUGAAUGUGUAGGUGAUAGAUGAAUGGGUGUGUAAGACUAAUGAAAUUGAAUUCCAGCUGGGUUGCAGUUGAAGCAAGUAGUAUUGUUAUGGUCAGAAUGGUGAAUUAGAGUUGUAAUUAGUGAUUGCUGGGAAAGCUUGGAACUACUACAAUUGCAGUUAGUUAUUAACAACGAUCAAUUCAAAGGAUGAACCAGUGGAUCGUGAAUCUCGAGGUAGGCGUGGCUUGUCAUCAAAAGAGUUUCAGAGACAGAUCAGAGUUGUGCAGCGAAAGCUCCGAGGAAUUGACUCCGUUAAUUAGUUAACUUUUGCUAUGUUCAUUAUGUUGUGUAUUUUAUUUGCAAACCAAAUACUAUUGUAUAUGUCUCAUUUGAGAGGAAUUCUUGUAUAUAUAUAUUUCAGAGAGGGGAUAGUUCUUGGGUUAAGUUUUUGUAGAAGAUUUCUUAAUUGAUUGUUUAAGUAACUGAUUUAGUUUCGUAGUGCCUCUUUAUUUAGUUAAUCUCUUGGUUUAGUCAGCUGCUAGCUUAGGGGGCGCUACAGUGUUACUAUCAGAGCUCAUUAUUAGAUCUUAUAUGGGAAAUGAUAGUAAUUAGCCAGCGCUAGUUAGUGAAAU